rnacentral:misc_RNA from 1 species
UCAAACUUGGUCAUUUAGAGGAAGUAAAAGUCGUAACAAGGUUUCCGUAGGUGAACCUGCGGAAGGAUCAUUAGUGAAUAAACCUGCGUGGGUUGUUGCUGGCUCCUUCGGGGGCAUGUGCACAUCUGCCAGUUGUUUCAUCACCCCCUUCCACCUGUGCACUUCUUGUAGAUCAGCCCGUCGCCUCAGGUGGGUACCUAUUCCCCUGGCAUACGAGGGCUUGCCUCUGGCUGUCCUUGAACGGGAUACGGUCUACGUCUUUAAUCAACUCUGUAUGGUAUUGGAUGUCUGCUUGGGAUCUUUGUAAGACCCAUAAAAUCUAUACAACUUUCAACAACGGAUCUCUUGGCUCUCGCAUCGAUGAAGAACGCAGC